GAUCAGCCCAACCUUAGCCUAUUGGAACUAUAACUCUCAUUCCAGCUCAAGAGGCUCAGUGGAGCCCAGUGCCCAGCUUCUGCUGUUGACCAAGGUACCACAUAUGCUGUGCACACAGGAAUACCUGGGCAAAUGCUAUCCUGAUAGUGUAUGAGAGGCACCAGUACUAGACUAACCCAAGAACAAAGGCCCAUCCAGGAGUGCAAUGGCCCCUUUAAAAUUGCUAGCAUCUGACAUAGUGAAUUUCAUUUUGUUCAGGUAAAAGUCAGGUCAGGACAACAAGGUCUCAAACUCAUAGGAAAUAGUCUCUUUGGCUUUUAAAUUUUUCCUCUACAGUCCUAUUUGUUUUGUUUUGAUUUCUUGCCAGGGAUUGAACCCAGGGGUGCUUAACCACUGAGCUACAUCCCCAGCCCUUGUUAACUCUUGUUAUUUUUCUAUUUUGAGACAGGGUCUCACUAAGUUGCUUAGGUCCUCACUAAGUUGCUGAGGCUGCCGUCAAACUUAGAUCCUCCUGCCUUAGGCUCCUAAGCUGGUGGGAUUACAGGUAUGCAUCACCACUUCUAGCUGCAGUCCAUUUUUUAUUGACUCAUGAAUAUAAUUGUUAGUCUCAGGAUUUAAAGAAGAAAAUAAAAUAUACAAGUAAAAUCAGCAUGUGAAUGCAUUUCUUCCAAAUUCCUUUUCCCUUAGACUGGGAAUUAAUAUGCAUAUGAUAUCUGAAAUAAAUUCUGAAAUGAUUCUUUCAUUGGUUUGACACCUAGAAAUUUGUGUGUAGUUUUGUGAGUGAUGGAAAGACUAUGGCCAUAAAUGAAUUUGUCUCUGAAUUUAUAAUUUAGAGCCCAUACUAAACAGCAAUUCUCUGCUAUUCAAAGACAAAAUAU
rnacentral:lncRNA from 1 species